UACGUAGGGAGCAAGCGUUGUUCGGAUUUACUGGGCGUAAAGGGCGCGUAGGCGGCAAUUCAAGUCAGCUGUGAAAUCUCCGGGCUUAACUCGGAACGGUCAGCUGAUACUGCUUUGCUAGAGUGCGGAAGGGGCAAUCGGAAUUCUCGGUGUAGCGGUGAAAUGCGCAGAUAUCAGGAGGAACACCGGUGGCAAAGGCGGGUCUCUGGGCCGAUACUGACGCUGAGGAGCGAAAGCGUGGGGAGCGAACAGG
rnacentral:rRNA from 1 species